rnacentral:rRNA from 1 species
CGCACGAGAAAGCCCGCAAGGGUGAGUACAGUGGCGUACGGGUGAGUAACACGUGGAUGAUCUACCUUCUAGUGGGGAAUAACCCUGGGAAACCGGGGCUAAUACCGCAUGAGCUCGAGAGAGGAAAGCAGCGAUGCGCUGGAAGAGGAGUCCGCGGCCGAUUAGCUAGUUGGCAGGGUAAAAGCCUACCAAGGCAGAGAUCGGUAGCCGGCCUGAGAGGGCACACGGCCACACUGGUACUGAAACACGGGCCAGACUCCUACGGGAGGCAGCAGUGGGGAAUCUUGCACAAUGGGGGAAACCCUGAUGCAGCGACGCCGCGUGAGCGAUGAAGCCCUCCGGGGUGUAAAGCUCUUUCGGCAGGGAAGAUGAUGACGGUACCUGCAGAAGCAGCUGCGGCUAACUACGUGCCAGCAGCCGCGGUAAUACGUAGGCAGCGAGCGUUG